AAUAAGAUGCCUGAUAAAAGGUUUAUUUUGAUAGAAUAAUUAAUGUAUAUAAUAUACUCUUAUUG
rnacentral:tRNA from 1 species